rnacentral:rRNA from 1 species
UACGUAGGGGGCAAGCGUUGUCCGGAUUUAUUGGGCGUAAAGAGCGUGUAGGCGGUUUGGUAGGUCCGCUGUGAAAUCUCGAGGCUCAACUUCGAGCUGUCGGUGGAAACUGUCUGGCUAGAGUCCGGAAGAGGAGAAUGGAAUUCCUGGUGUAGCGGUGAAAUGCGCAGAUAUCAGGAAGAACACCCGUGGCGAAGGCGGCUCUCUGGGACGGUACUGACGCUGAGACGCGAAAGCGUGGGGAGCGAACAGG